rnacentral:rRNA from 1 species
CCUACGGGUGGCAGCAGUGGGGAAUAUUGCACAAUGGGGGAAACCCUGAUGCAGCGACGCCGCGUGAGUGAAGAAGUCUUUCGGUAUGUAAAGCUCUAUCAGCAGGGAAGCAAUAGCGACCUUUGGGUCGCCAGACGGUACCUGCUUAAGAAGCCCCGGCUAACUCCGUGCCAGCAGCCGCGGUAAUACGGAGGGUGCGAGCGUUAAUCGGAAUUACUGGGCGUAAAGCGCUCGUAGGCGGUGUGUCAAGUCAGGGGUGAAAUCCCCGCGCUCAACGUGGGAACUGCCUUUGAAACUGGCAGACUGGAGUGUGGGAGAGGAGAGUGGAAUUCGUGGUGUAGGAGUGAAAUCCGUAGAUAUCUGGAGGAACAUCAGUGGCGAAGGCGACUAACUGGAACAUAACUGACGCUGAGGAGCGAAAGCGUGGGUAGCAAACAGGAUUAGAUACCCGAGUAGUC